CUCAAAUCAGUCUCACGUGAAAGUAAAACAUUUUCUGAUGGCUGGAGGACCACAGCACAGGGGCAAAUUUCCUGAUAGAAGUCACCUGCCUACUUGAGUCCCAAGGACUAAAAUGUCACUCAACUUCUUCAAGGCUGAUUUCCAUCAGUGAAUUGAAUGUUCCAGUGCCAGCCACUGCCUCAGUUGAAGAUUGUAUGGCCGGAUGCAGUGACUCACACCUAAUCCCAGCACUUUGGGAGGCCAAAG
rnacentral:lncRNA from 1 species